GGGCUUGUGGCGCAGCAUGGAUAGCGCGGUAGCCUCCUAAGUUACAGGUCGAGGGAUCGAAGCCCUCCAAGCCCG
rnacentral:tRNA from 2 species